UACGAAGGGGGCUAGCGUUGUUCGGAAUCACUGGGCGUAAAGGGCGCGUAGGCGGCCGAUCAAGUCGGGGGUGAAAGCCUGUGGCUCAACCACAGAAUUGCCUUCGAUACUGGUUGGCUUGAGACCGGAAGAGGUAAGUGGAACUGCGAGUGUAGAGGUGAAAUUCGUAGAUAUUCGCAAGAACACCAGUGGCGAAGGCGGCUUACUGGUCCGGUUCUGACGCUGAGGCGCGAAAGCGUGGUGAGCAAACAGG
rnacentral:rRNA from 1 species